CAAAAACUAGACACUAGCAGUCCAUCAUGCCACCUUACAUGAAGUGAAUCAAAUAUGCAAAAUGGGAAUAAAAAUGUUAAAAGAAGAAGAAGAAGAAGAAGAAGAAGAAGAAGAACAACAACAACAACAACAAGAACAACAACAACAAUAAGAAGACUAGAAGAAGAAGAAUAAGAAGAAGACUAGAAGAAGAAGAAGAAGAAGAAGAAGAAGAAGAAGAAGACUAGAAGAAGAAGGACAAGAAGAAGUAGAAGAAUAAGAAGAAGAACACUUACCAUCAUCGUCAUCAAGAAGGUGAAGCACAGGGGUUGCUCGGACCAGUUUCACUUGAAGAAGGGGUGUGAGAUGCGGCUCGGUAGUUACGCUGCACCAAAAUUCAUUUGCAAUGUCUUGUUAG
rnacentral:lncRNA from 1 species